rnacentral:tRNA from 1 species
AAGGCAGGGGACUGCAAAUCCUUUAUCCCCAGUUCAAAUCUGGGUGCCGCCU